rfam:Felis catus isolate Cinnamon breed Abyssinian chromosome D4, whole genome shotgun sequence.
ACCUGGGUGGCUCAGUCGGUUGAGCUUCUGACUCUUGGUUUCGACUCAGGUCAUGAGCUCACGGUUUGUGGGUUCAAGCCCCGCUUCGGGCU